ensembl:lncRNA
AUGAAUAAGAAGAACCUGAGAACACUUGAAGGCUGGCAGGGGCAUCACCAGCUCCGGCUCGGCACUCCGGUCUCAGGGUCUCCCGACACUGACGCUCCCUGCUUCCUAAGGAGGCAAAGGCUGGAAGCAACACCUUCGGGAGUGAGCCGUGCAACCGGAGCCGGGGAGCACAGGCAGCCUCGGUGCCCUGAACCCAGCCGCCCGCGCCGCCCUCUCCUCCCUCUCCUUCUCCCGGCGCCUCCACCGCCCGGCAGCUGCCUUAACUGCGCCGGGUCCCGCGCGCCCCCAGCCUCACCAGGGCCCAGGCGCGCACCUCCACCCGCCCGCAGCAGCCCGGCGGGACCCGGUGUUAUAGCCGGGUCGUGGGGGCGGGCGCGCCCGGGCCCCGCCUCCAGACGUCCCUCCGGCCCACUCCGGAGCCGUGCGGGUGCCUCCCGGGCGGGGCCUCAGCCCCCUUUACACCUAGGAGAGCCAGCGCCCGCCGGGUGCGCCCUUUCGUGGAGCGGCGGGUGCGGGCGGGCGGCGGGACGUGGAGUCUCCCCUCGCGGACAGUCUUUGCUGGCACCCCAGAAAUGGUGUCUACAAUGUGUUGUGAUCAAGAAGUGACUCUCAGAGAAAAAAAGAAUCGCAGCUCUCUGGUGAUUAUUUAGCUAAGGGGGCACCAUACUCUUCCUUUAGCAGUGUCUCCAUCAUCCUAAUUCCCUUCUGAACUUCCUGUCUCAAGAAUGUACUGGUAAAAGUUUCCAAAAUGCAGUUGAGAAACAGCUCCAGUGACUGAAAUCUUGCCUUUUGAAUGAGCCCUAAUUUGGAUUUUCCACAUUUUCACAGAAGACAGUUUCUUCCUAAAUGUAUACUGCCUCCACAUAAGGCAAUAACUCCAUACAACCAUGUUUCUUUCUUGAGCAUUGAGCCAUGACUCCUCUUGUAACUGGAUAUUAGGUACUAAAAAAGAUUUUUAAAUGACUUUUUAAAUUUUCCCCUCAAAACUCUUCCACCCUGUCCCCUCCACCCCCAGCUUUUCUGUCUCAGGAAAUGAAACCAAAACCCCAGGAAAUGUUACCCAAACCAAAACCCCAGAAGUCUUUUACUUCCCACCCACCCCAACCAAUGCAAUACAUCAGGAAGUUCUGUUAACUCUAUCACCAAGACAUCUCCUGAUGCUGUUUGUGUUGACACUUCCACUGCUGCCAUCCUGGUCUGAGAUACCAUCAUCUCUGUCCCAAUCUCCUCCCUACUCCUCUCUGGCACCUAGAGUCUAGUUAUACCUGAAAUGCCAGAGGGGUGUUUUAACAUGUAAUCAGAACAUGCCAUUUUCACUCCAGGGACUUCUAGUCACACUCAGAAUCAAACCCAAAGCCUCCUCCUUCCUGGCUGUGAGAUCCCACAUGAAGCGGGCCCACCUGCCUCGCUCCCUCGGUAAUAUUACAUUAGAGCCACACAUGCCCUGAACACACACACAGCUACCCUCUCACUCGAUGGCCUUUGCAUAAGCUCUGCCCUAGGCCAGACACAUUCUUCUAGGUCUUCCCAUGCCUGGUUCCUUGUUAUCAUCCAGGUUUCAACGUCAUUGCCAUCCUCUGUGAGAGACCUUUGACCCCUUAGCUUUUGACCCCUUAGCUGUAGCCCCCAGUCCCUGAACCCCAGCUGUCAUUUUCUUGCACAUCUCUGUUUCUUAUCUUAAUCAUAGCAUUUACUAUUAUUAGAUAUUUUUUCCAUAAUUGUAUAUUCCUGCCACCAUUCCCCUCCAAAAAGUACCAUGAGAAUAGGGUCCUGGUCAUUCUGUUCAAUGUUGUAUCCGAGCAUCCACAGCAGUCCCUGGCACAGGAUAAGUCUUCAGGAUGUGUUUGAUGAUUAAACGAGUGAAUGAAUAUCUUUUAGAAUGAGCCAGUCCUCUUCAUAGACUGCCACCUAAAUGAUGAGACUCGGAAGUGUUUCAAAAUCCCCUUGCCUGGUAAUGUAAUAUUGGGGUUUGGGGAUUCAGGGUGCCCUCAGAUGCCCUGAGAGGAUGUUUCUCCAGGUUCUUGGUCUCCUGCCCUCUCAAGAAUGAGAGAGGGGACCACAGCGCAGUGCGGAGUAAAUGCCAUACUCAAAAGUGUUUGUAGAUAGUGAUUUAUUUAGAAACAGGAGAAGGAGAGAGAAAGAAACAGCUAACUCUCACGCUGAGUGAGAGAAUCCAGAAAGAUGGAAUCCAGGAGAGGAAAGCAGCUCCCACACUGAGUGGAAAGGAAUAAAGAGAGAUGGAGUUUAGGAGGGGG